CCAACAGCUAGCUUACUACUUAAUAACUAAACAAUAUAAAUAAAACAAAAUAAGCCUGACACCAAAAACUAAACCAUUUUUUUACCUGAGUAUGGGAGACAGAAAAGGUUCCACAAAGCGAUAGAAAUAGUACCGCAAGGGAAAGCUGAAAGAGAAAUGAAAUAACCCAUAUAAGCACUAAAAAGCAAAGAUUAAACCUCGUACCUUUUGCAUCAUGAUUUAGCCAGUACACCCAAGCAAAGAGACCUUUAGUUUGAAACCCCGAAACCAGGUGAGCUACCCCGAGACAGCCUAUUAAGGGCCAACCCGUCUCUGUGGCAAAAGAGUGGGAAGAGCUCCGGGUAGAAGUGACAGACCUACCGAACCUGGUGAUAGCUGGUUGCCUAAGAAAUGAAUAGAAGUUCAGCCUCGUGCACCUCAAAUCACACAAACAAAACAAGACUAAGAGAAACACAUGAGAGUUAGUUAAAGGGGGUACAGCCCCUUUAACAAAGGACACAACCUUUCCAGGAGGAUAAAGAUCAUAAUACAUAAAACAUACUGUUCUAGUGGGCCUAAAAGCAGCCAUCUAAACAGAAAGCGUUAAAGCUCAGACAGAAAAAAGUUUAUUAUCCCGAUAAAAAAUCUUACUCCCCUAAGUACUAUUAGGCCAACCCAUGCCCCCAUGGAAGAGAUUAUGCUAAAAUGAGUAACAAGAAGGCCCGCCCUUCUCCAAGCACAAGUGUAAGCCAAACCGGACCAACCAUUGGCAACUAACGAACUCAAUCAAAGAGAGCAAUGUGAAUUACAAAAAAACCAAGAAAAAUCCACAACUAAGCUAUCGUUACCCCCACACUGGAGUGCCCUAAAGGAAAGACUAAAAGAAAAGGAAGGAACUCGGCAAACACAAGCCUCGCCUGUUUACCAAAAACAUCGCCUCCUGCAACGCAACCAAGUAUAGGAGGUCCAGCCUGCCCAGUGACUACAAGUUCAACGGCCGCGGUAUUUUGACCGUGCAAAGGUAGCGCAAUCACUUGUCUUUUAAAUAGAGACCUGUAUGAAUGGCUAAACGAGGGCUUAACUGUCUCCCCUUUCAAGUCAGUGAAAUUGAUCUACCCGUGCAGAAGC
rnacentral:rRNA from 1 species